AUGGGGAGUAUUCAUACAGAAGCCUUGCAUCACAUAACAAUGUUUAUGUGCAUUACCUCUGAUUUAUAUCGAAGAACACCGCGCUUCCAGCAGCAAGACGUUGUUUACCACGAAGCUUUAGAUGUAGCAACGUUACAGCAACUGCAAACACCGGCGGUAGGAAAACAAGUUUGCGCGGAUGAAGCAGAUAAAAUCGUCGCAGAAGCAGCCAAAAAACAACAACAAUGCCGGAUGAAGCAUAUAAAAUCGGUACUGACUUUGACCGGUUCCAGCAAAAGCUCUAGCAAAUUCCGUCGUUGA
rnacentral:rRNA from 1 species